rnacentral:rRNA from 1 species
GAAAAAUCUUAAAGGAACUUGUUUUUUAAUCGAUAAUACUCGUUAAAUUUCUCCUUACUACAAAGCUUAUAUACCGCCGUAUUAAAUAAACUUUAUACACUUUCAUUUAAACUUACUUUAAAAAAUCAGGUCAAGGUGUAGCCAAUACUAAGUGAUAAAAUUAGUUACUUAUAAAAAAAAUUUAUAGAAUAAAUUUAAAUAUUAAAAAAAUAGGAUUUAAACACAAUUUAUUAUUAAUAUUCAUAAAUGAAAUUCAAUUAUC